rnacentral:rRNA from 1 species
AGGAUUAGAUACCCUGGUAGUCCACGCCGUAAACGGUGGGUACUAGGUGUGGGUUCCUUCCUUGGGAUCCGUGCCGCAGCUAACGCAUUAAGUACCCCGCCUGGGGAGUACGGCCGCAAGGCUAAAACUCAAAGGAAUUGACGGGGGCCUGCACAAGCGGCGGAGCAUGUGGUUUAAUUCGAAGCAACGCGCAGAACCUUACCAGCUUUUGACAUGUCCUGGACGGAUUGCAGAGAUGCGAUCUUCCCUUCGGGGCCGGGAACACAGGUGCUGCAUGGCUGUCGUCAGCUCGUGUCGUGAGAUGUUGGGUUAAGUCCCGCAACGAGCGCAACCCUCGCCCUUAGUUGCCAUCAUUCAGUUGGGCACUCCAGGGGGACUGCCGGUGAUAAGCCGGAGGAAGGUGGGGAUGACGUCAAGUCCUCAUGGCCCUUACAGGCUGGGCUACACACGUGCUACAAUGGCGGUGACAACGGGAGGCGAAGGGGCGACCCUUAGCAAAUCUCGAAAAACCGUCUCAGUUCGGAUUGCACUCUGCAACUCGAGUGCAUGAAGUUGGAAUCGCUAGUAAUCGCGGAUCAGCACGCCGCGGUGAAUACGUUCCCGGGCCUUGUACACACCGCCCGUCACACCAUGGGAGUUGGUUUU